AACGAACGUUAGCGGCGCGCCUAACACAUGCAAGUCGCACGAGAAAGGGCUUCGGCCCCGGUAAAGUGGCGCACGGGUGAGUAACACGUGGGUAAUCUGCCCUUGAGCGGGGGAUAACAUUCCGAAAGGAGUGCUAAUACCGCAUAAGACCACGGCUUCGAAAGGAGCAGCGGUCAAAGCUGGCCUCUGUACACAAGCUAGCACUCGAGGCUGGGCCCGCGGCGCAUCAGCUUGUUGGUGAGGUAAUGGCUCACCAAGGCUAAGACGCGUAGCUGGUCUGAGAGGAUGAUCAGCCACACUGGAACUGAGACACGGUCCAGACUCCUACGGGAGGCAGCAGUGGGGAAUCUUGCGCAAUGGGCGAAAGCCUGACGCAGCGACGCCGCGUGAGUGAUGAAGGCCUUCGGGUUGUAAAGCUCUGUGGGGAGAGACGAAUAAGUGCAGCCUAAUACGUUGCAUGAUGACGGCAUCUCCUUAGCAAGCACCGGCUAACUCUGUGCCAGCAGCCGCGGUAAUAC
rnacentral:rRNA from 1 species